GGUAUGCCUUACACAUGCAAGUCGAACGGUAGAGGGGCAACCCUUGAGAGUGGCGAACGGGUGAGUAAUACAUCGGAACGUGCCCAGUCGUGGGGGAUAACGUAGCGAAAGCUACGCUAAUACCGCAUACGACCUGAGGGUGAAAGCGGGGGAUCGCAAGACCUCGCGCGAUUGGAGCGGCCGAUGGCAGAUUAGGUAGUUGGUGGGGUAAAGGCCUACCAAGCCUGCGAUCUGUAGCUGGUCUGAGAGGACGACCAGCCACACUGGGACUGAGACACGGCCCAGACUCCUACGGGAGGCAGCAGUGGGGAAUUUUGGACAAUGGGCGCAAGCCUGAUCCAGCCAUACCGCGUGCGGGAAGAAGGCCUUCGGGUUGUAAACCGCUUUUGUCAGGGAAGAAAUCUUCUGGGCUAAUACCUCGGGAGGAUGACGGUACCUGAAGAAUAAGCACCGGCUAACUACGUGCCAGCAGCCGCGGUAAUACGUAGGGUGCAAGCGUUAAUCGGAAUUACUGGGCGUAAAGCGUGCGCAGGCGGUUCCAUAAGACAGAUGUGAAAUCCCCGGGCUCAACCUGGGAACUGCAUUUGUGACUG
rnacentral:rRNA from 1 species